AACGUAGGUGGCAAGCGUUAUCCGGAUUUACUGGGCGUAAAGCGUGCGUAGGUGGCUAUGUAAGUCAGAUGUAAAAUCUCCCGGCUCAACUGGGAUGGACCAUUUGAUACUGCAUGGCUUGAGGACAGCAGAGGGAGGUAGAAUUCCCGGUGUAGUGGUGGAAUGCGUAGAUAUCGGGAGGAAUACCAGUGGCGAAAGCGGCCUUCUUGGCUGCACCUGACACUGUUGCACGAAAGCGUGGGGAG
rnacentral:rRNA from 1 species